UUUCUAUGGAGCUGGUUGGAUUCGUACACAACAUAUCUAUGUCGUCCUAUAUCUAUGUCGUCAACCUAAAGCGGUUGGUUAUUCGUCUAGAUCGGGGGACCAGGUGGAACAGAGUGUGUAGGGAAACAAGACAAAACAAAUGGAAAAUGAAACGUGGAUCGAAGAUGGCUAGAAGACCGGUGACGCCGACUGCCGAACGCCGCCCGAACAAGGAGAGGAACCAACUUCGGUGGAAUUCGUGACAGCCAGAUGUAUACAGAAUGGUGUCGUCUGCGUAGAGGUGGAUCAGAGAAUCACCAGCAGCAAGAGCGACAUCAUUGAUGUAUACAGAGAAGAGAGUCGGCCCGAGAAUUGAACCCUGUGGCACCCCCAUAGAGACUGCCAGAGGUCCGGACAACAGGCCCUCCGAUUUGAAACACUGAACUCUGUCUGAGAAGUAGUUGGUGUACCAGGCGAGGCAGUCAUUUGAGAAACCAAGGCUGUUGAGUCUGCCGAUGAGGAUGUGGUGAUUGACAGAGUCGAAAGCCUUGGCCAGGUCGAUGAAGACAGCUGCACAGUAAUGUCUCUUAUCGAUGGCGGUUACGAUAUCGUUUAGGACCUUGAGCGUGGCUGAGGUGCACCCAUGACCAGCUCAGAAACUAGAUUGCAUGACGGAGAAGGUACGGUGGGAUUCGAAAUUGUCGGUGAUCUGUUUAUUAACUUGGCUUUCGAAGACCUUAGAAAGGCAGGGCAGGAUGGAUAUAGGUCUGUAGCAGUUUGGGUCUAGAGUGUCACCCCCUUUGAAGAGGGGGAUGACCGCGGCAGCUUUCAAUCUUUGGGGAUCUCAGACGAUACGAAAGAGAGGUUGAACAGGCUAGUAAUAGGGUUUGCAACAAUUUUGGCGGAUAAUUUUAGAAAGAGAGGGUCCAGAUUGUCUAGCCCGGCUGAUUUGUAGGGGUCCAGAUUUUGCAGCUCUUUCAGAUCAUCAGCUGAAUGGAUUUGGGAGAAGGAGAAAUGGGGAAGGCUUGGGCGAGUUGCUGUGGGGGGUGCAGUGCUGUUGACUGGGGUAGGGGUAGCCAGGUGGAAAGCAUGGCCAGCUGUAGAAAAAUGCAUAUUGAAAUUCUCAAUUAUCACGGAUUUAUCAGUGGUGACAGUGUUUCCUAGCCUCAGUGCAGUGGGCAGCUGGGAGGAGGUGCUCUUAUUCUCCAUGGACUUUAGUGUCCCGAAACGUUUUGGAGUUUGUGCUACAGGAUGCACAUUUCUGUUUGAAAAAGCUAGCCUUAGCUUUCCUAACUGCCUGUGUAUAUUGGUUCCUAACUUCCCUGAAAAGUUGCAUAUCGCGGGGGCUUUCCGAUGCUAAUGCAGAACGUCACAGGAUGUUUUGUGCUGGUCGAGGGCAGACAGGUCUGGAGUGAACCAAGGACUAUAUCUAUUCCUGGUUCUACAUUUUUUGAAUAGGGAUUUUUGAAUGGUGAGGAAAGCACUUUUAAAGAAUAACCAGGCAUCCUCUACUGACGGUAUGAGGUCAAUAUCCUUCCAGGAUACCCGGGCCAGGUCAAUUAGAAAGGCCUGCUCGUUGAAGUGUUUCAGGGAGCGUUUGACAGUGAUGAGUGGAGGUUGUUUGACCGCUGACCCAUUACGGAUGCAGGCAAUGAGGCAGUGAUCCCUGAGAUCUUGGUUGAAAACAGCAGAGGUGUAUUUAGAGGGCAGGUUGGUCAGGAUGAUAUCUAUGAGGGUGCCCGUGUGGAUUUGGGGUUGUACCUGGUAGGUUCAUUUGAUAAUUUGUGUGAGAUUGAGGGCAUCUAGCUUAGAUUGUAGGAUGGCUGGGGUGUUAAGCAUAUCCCAGUAUAGGUCACCUAGUAGCACGAGCUCAGAAGAUAGAUGGGGGCAAUCAGUUCACAUAUGGUGUCCAGGGCACAGCUGGGGGCAGAGGGGGGUCUAUAACAGCUGGGGGCAGAGGGUGGUCUAUAACAGCUGGGGGCAGAGGGUGGUCUAUAACAGCUGGGGGCAGAGGGUGGUCUAUAGCAGCUGGGGGCUGAAGGGGGUCUAUAACAGCUGGGGGCAGAGGGGGUCUAUAACAGCUGGGGGCAGAGGGUGGUCUAUAACAGCUAGGGGCAGAGGGUGGUCUAUAACAGCUGGGGGCAGAGGGUGGUCUAUAACAGCUGGGGGCUGAAGGGGGUCUAUAACAGCUGGAGGCAGAGGGUGGUCUAUAACAGCUGGGGGCUGAGGGGGGUCUAUAGCAGCUGGGGGCAGAGGGUGGUCUAUAGCAGCUGGGGGCAGAGGGUGGUCUAUAACAGCUGGGGGCUGAAGGGGUCUAUAACAGCUG
rnacentral:lncRNA from 1 species